rnacentral:hammerhead_ribozyme from 1 species
GCACAGCUGGCGAGUCCCAAACAGGAUGAAACAGCUGUCCAGUGC